AUUGAACGCUGGCGGCAUGCUUUACACAUGCAAGUCGAACGGCAGCACGGGGGCAACCCUGGUGGCGAGUGGCGAACGGGUGAGUAAUAUAUCGGAACGUACCCGGAAAUGGGGGAUAACGUAGCGAAAGUUACGCUAAUACCGCAUAUGCCCUAAGGGGGAAAGCGGGGGAUUCGCAAGAACCUCGCGUUUUCGGAGCGGCCGAUAUCGGAUUAGCUAGUAGGUGAGGUAAAGGCUCACCUAGGCGACGAUCCGUAGCUGGUCUGAGAGGACGACCAGCCACACUGGAACUGAGACACGGCCCAGACUCCUACGGGAGGCAGCAGUGGGGAAUUUUGGACAAUGGGCGAAAGCCUGAUCCAGCCAUGCCGCGUGAGUGAAGAAGGCC
rnacentral:rRNA from 1 species